rfam:Mesocricetus auratus contig093896, whole genome shotgun sequence.
UGAUGUGAGGACAAUCUGGCUGUGACAUCUGUCACACCGUUGAUCACCGGAGUUGAUUUGGCUGAUAUAAUUGGCUAGGCGGGUGUCCUCUUCCUCCCUCACAGCUCCAUGUGUGUCCCUCUUGAAGCUGCAUGCUGUGUCAAAGAGGAUGACCUUCUCACAAUAGAGGAGACCAGUCUUUGGUUAAGGGUAUAUGAGUAGUUGUACUCCCCUGCUAGAAUCUCCAAACAAGCUCUCAAGGUCCUCACAGCUUUCUAAAUGUUGUUUCCUGGUGCAGUUUGCAUUUCUGUACCAGGUAAUUACUUCUCUGUUCAAAUUUUUGAUCGUCUUAAGUAUUAUUUCUUU